rnacentral:rRNA from 1 species
GACGAACGCUGGCGGCGUGCUUAACACAUGCAAGUCGAACGGAAAGGCCCUGCUUUUGUUGGGUGCUCGAGUGGCGAACGGGUGAGUAACACGUGAGUAACCUGCCCUUGACUUUGGGAUAACUUCAGGAAACUGGGGCUAAUACCGGAUAGGAGCUCCUGCUGCAUGGUGGGGGUUGGAAAGUUUCGGCGGUUGGGGAUGGACUCGCGGCUUAUCAGCUUGUUGGUGGGGUAGUGGCUUACCAAGGCUUUGACGGGUAGCCGGCCUGAGAGGGUGACCGGGCACAGUGGGCCUGAGAUACGGCCCAGACGCCUACGGGAGGCAGCAGUGGGGAAUAUUGCACAAUGGGCGGAAGGCUGAUGCAGCAAUGCCGCGUGCGGGAUGACGGCCUUCGGGGUGUAAACCGAUUUCGCCUGUGAAGAAGAGUGAGUGACGGUAAUGGGUAAAGAAGCAACGGCUAACUACGUG